UACAGAGGGGGCAAGCGUUGUUCGGAAUUACUGGGCGUAAAGGGCGCGUAGGUGGCCUUCUAAGUUGAACGUGAAAUCCCUGGGCUCAACCCAGGAACUGCGUCCAAGACUGGGAGGCUUGAAUCCGGGAGAGGGAUGCGGAAUUCCAGGUGUAGCGGUGAAAUGCGUAGAUAUCCGGAGGAACACCGGUGGCGAAGGCGGCUUCCUGGACCGACACUGACGCUGAGGCGCGAAAGCUAGGGGAGCAAACGGG
rnacentral:rRNA from 1 species